CCAUGUUCUUAAUGAAAGUUAUCAAAUUCUUCAUCAUCAAAAUGAACAUGAUGGCCACGACCACGCCCAUGAGCUCGUCCUCCUUCUUGGUCAUGAUGACCAGCCCGCCUGCCACCACCACGUCCAUCUCUGAAACAGUCAUGUUCUGCAUUAGAAUUUUCAGCACCAGAUUCAUCAGAUUGAUGCCAUGGAGGUAUGCGUGCAUCAAGCAUCCUCUCCAUGGCCUACAAGAGUGAGUCUGCCAUUUGGCGUAACUCAGCCCGUGCAACAGGGGGUUCUUCUCCUUGACGAUCACCACGAAUACUUGAGUUGGAUCCUAUCAUGUUAACACUAAAGCAAAAUAUAGUGGAAUGGGUAAAUUUGUGGAAUCACACAACCUCACUCCUUACUUACCAAUGUCCUUUCCUAUUCUCAAGGAUAGCGAAUCGUGCUAGUGUAGCAGCUCAACAGAAGUGAUUCUAAGGUCACAAGGAUUACGAGUCGAAUGUCCUGGUUUCAGUUUUUUGGUGGAGCUAUAGGUGGCUGAACAAGGGAGGCUACGGUACUGAAAAUCAAGUGGUUUGAUGUGCUCAAAAGAUAUAACAUUGCUGGUAUAUAAAUCUCCAAGAAUCUGAAUAUGUAAACUAAAGUUUUCAGUAACCAAACCGCAAUACAAUCCCUUUCCUCUUCUUUUACGUUUCUGUUUUUUCACUUUUCUUUUCUCUAAUUUUAUUUUUUUCUCUAUUUUUUUGAAUUCUUUUUUUAUACUAACAGAGGUGCGGAUAACAAAUGAAACACAACACAAUAUAUGUAAAGAGGGUGACUAGCAACUUGACGAACACAAAAACACAAGAUAACAGUACCGUCAAAGGGCUUUAGGUUUUUUUGUGGCUUUUUUAGUGGACUAUAGGUGAUGAACAAAAUAACAGAUGAUAGAUAAACUAAAACUAGAUAUGUGGAUGAUUGUGAGACCAACCGUGAUAAUGAAAGCUUUGAUACCAGUUGAUAGGUACCAAUAUGAAUCGGCACGAGGGUGGCCCGAUCUUCACAAUAGUAGAUCAAAAGAACAAGGAUAACAUGCUACAAACAGCGGGUAACUAGCUUUAUACGUGACAAAGGUUGGUUGCGACCAAGCGACGGGGAGAGAGGCACCGAAACCACGAAGAUUUCAACUCCAUCUCCGAACGAUCAUAGAACCACAAUCUAGAACUAAACCACAGCGUCGUACGGAAGCCGUAGAGCAUGAAGUAGGGGAACACAAAGGAUUCACUUCACAAGUCCAAGAAGAACAAGGAAGAACAAAGGCUGAGUAAGGCACUCAGCAGCACGGCUGCAAUAUCAUAUAGUUUAUCGAAUGAUAAAAGGUUUUUUGAAUAGCUUAGAGAUAGGGAAUAUCUAUACUAAGAACAACCCUCCUAGAUAGGUAUGAAAAUGAAAUAGAGUUUGUGAGAGAAGGCAAUGUGAAAGGUCCCCUCGGAAUGGAUUCCCGAACUGGUUUCACGAGACUGUUGGCCUCUAGAGCAGUUUCCAAUAAACUAAUCAUAACUCCUUAUUGGGAAGUCCAAAUGAUGAACUGUUUCUUGGGAGUGAAACUAGGCCCAAAGAGCUUUCCAGCAAUGUAUGCCAUCUAGCAUGAAACAUUGUAGAUUGGUACAGUUUUACUCAGCAAGCUGUACCAAUAUUCUGUCACGACAGACUGUUGACCUUCUGAGCAGUCUGUACUAAUUCUAGUCUGU
rnacentral:lncRNA from 1 species